UACGUAGGGUGCAAGCGUUGUCCGGAAUUAUUGGGCGUAAAGAGCUCGUAGGCGGUCUGUCACGUCGGCUGUGAAAACCUGAGGCUCAACCUCAGGCCUGCAGUCGAUACGGGCGGACUUGAGUACUGCAGGGGAGACUGGAAUUCCUGGUGUAGCGGUGAAAUGCGCAGAUAUCAGGAGGAGCACCGGUGGCGAAGGCGGGUCUCUGGGCAGUAACUGACGCUGAGGAGCGAAAGCGUGGGGAGCGAACAGG
rnacentral:rRNA from 1 species